GAUGAACGCUAGCGGCAGGCCUAACACAUGCAAGUCGAGGGGCAGCAUAGAUUGUAGCAAUACAAUUGGUGGCGACCGGCGCACGGGUGCGUAACGCGUAUGCAACCUACCCGUCACAGGGGGAUAAUCCGGAGAAAUCUGGUCUAAUACCCCAUAACAUAUGGAUCGGCAUCGGUUCAUGUUGAAAUUUUCGGAGGUGACGGAUGGGCAUGCGUAGCAUUAGCUUGUUGGUGAGGUAACGGCUCACCAAGGCGACGAUGCUUAGGGGGACUGGGAGGUUUUCCCCCCACACUGGUACUGAGACACGGACCAGGCUCCUACGGGAGGCAGCAGUGAGGAAUAUUGGUCAAUGGGCGCAAGCCUGAACCAGCCAUGCCGCGUGCAGGAUGACGGCUCUAUGAGUUGUAAACUGCUUUUGUACGAGGGUAAAGUGGGUUACGUGUAACCUUUUGAAAGUAUCGUACGAAUAAGGAUCGGCUAACUCCGUGCCAGCCGCCGCCGUAACAC
rnacentral:rRNA from 1 species